AGCAGCCGCGGUAAUUCCAGCUCCAAUAGCGUAUAUUAAAGUUGUUGCAGUUAAAAAGCUCGUAGUUGAAUUUCGGGAUUAGUACGCUGGUCGUGCCUUAGGUAUGCACUGGUGUUACUGGUUCCUACCUUCUGACGAACCGUCAUGUCAUUAAUUUGGUGUGGCGGGGAAUCAGGACUGUUACUUUGAAAAAAUUAGAGUGUUUAAAGCAGGCUCGCGCUUGAAUACAUUAGCAUGGAAUAAUGAAAUAGGACGUUCGAUCCUAUUUUGUUGGUUUCUAGGAUUGACGUAAUGAUUAAUAGGGAUAGUUGGGGGCAUUAGUAUUCAAUUGUCAGAGGUGAAAUUCUUGGAUUUAUUGAAGACUAACUACUGCGAAGGCAUUUGCCAAGGAUGUUUUCAUUAAUCAAGAACGAAAGUUAGGGGAUCGAAGACGAUCAGAUACCGUCGUAGUCUUAACCAUAAACUAUGCCGACUAGGGAUCGGAUGAUGUUAUUUUUAAUGACUCAUUCGGCGCCUUAAC
rnacentral:rRNA from 1 species